CAGUCGUACCUGCGGAUAAUCAGCCUUUAGGAUGCGAUUUUGUGGAGUGUGAGGAGCUAAUCGCCUUCAUGCCUGUAUAUUCGUGUACUUGGGGUGUACUUAUUCGUGUGGUAAGUUAACAUCAAUUUUGGUCGUCAUAAAAUGACUGGAGGAAUGUAGCUUCGAUCUCGUAUUGAAGUGUUAUAGCCUUUGGUAGAUGUGAUUAUCGGGAUUGAGGAUUGCAACGGAUACCCUUCGGGGCUACUUGUCUGAUCUCUGAUCGUUGCUCUGGUGCCGAAAGCGUGCUUACGGUUAUCAAAGUCGAUGGUUAAUAGGUUAGAACGGAUUACA
rnacentral:rRNA from 1 species